GGGGGGGGGGGGGGGGGGGGCGGGGAGGGGGGGGGGGGGGGGGUGAGGGGGGCGGGCUCCUGGGUGCGGCGGCGGACGGGUGGGUAAUGCCUAGGGAGCUGCCUGGUCGUGGGGGAUACCGUCCGGACACGGGCGCUAAUACCGGAUACGUCCUGAGGGAGAAAGUGGGGGAUCUUCGUACCUCACGCUAUCAUCUGAUCCUAGGUCGGAUUAGCUAGUUGGUGGGGUAAAGGCCUACCAAGGCGACGAUCCGUAGCUGGUCUGAGAGGAUGAUCAGCCACACUGGAACUGAGACACGGUCCAGACUCCUACGGGAGGCAGCAGUGGGGAAUAUUGGACAAAGGGCGCAAGCCUGAUCCAGCCAUACCGCGUGGGUGAAGAAGGCCUUCGGGUUGUAAAGCCCUUUUGUUUGGAAAGAAAAGCAGCAAGUUAAUACCCCGCUGUUCUGACGGUACCCAAAGAAUAAGCACCGGCUAACUUCGUG
rnacentral:rRNA from 1 species